AUUUUCAGUGAUGACUCAACUUUCUGAAGAAUUUUGAAGAGGUCAUCGAUGGAAGAGGGAGGAUUCAUGAGGCUCAUCUCGUAAGCUCUGAACUCAUCUUCCAUCUUUUUCAAGUCAGCACGGGAGGAGCCAGAACUAGCCAUUUGCCAAAAAGCUCUUAAUUUAGGUAGGGGCCAGAUCACUUCGGACGUGUAGAAGCACCAGGUUGUUCAGAACCCGCCAAUUCAGCUUCUCGGAUCUUACUGUUCAGGCCUAUCGGAUCAUCAAAUCAGGAAACGACUAUCCCGGUUAGGUCGGAAUUCGAACUCGUAAUCGGAGCUCACCAGGCAACGGCAGCUUCAUCAACCAGUGCUGAUUUCACUCUCCUUUUUCUUUUUCCCUUAGCCGAUUCUCCGAGUCUGAUCUGGAACUUUCGUUUUGGGAAAGGAAAUGGUUGAUUUCACUCUCCUUUUUCUUUUUCCCUUAGCCGAUUCUCCGAGUCUGAUCUGGAACUUUCGUUUUGGGAAAGGAAAUGGU
rnacentral:misc_RNA from 1 species